rnacentral:misc_RNA from 1 species
GAUGAAGAACGUAGCGAAAUGCGAUAAGUAGUGUGAAUUGCAGAAUUCAGUGAAUCAUCGAAUCUUUGAACGCAUCUUGCGCUCCUUGGUAUUCUGAGGAGCAUGCCUGUUUGAGUGUCAUUAAAUUCUCAACUACACUGACUUUGAAUUGGUGUGGCUUGGAUUUGGGGGGAAAAUUGUUGUGGGCUUUUUGUAUAGUCUGCUCCCCUGAAAUUGAUUAGCGGUACCUUUGUGGAACUGUCUACAGGUGUGAUAAUUAUCUACAUCUUAGACAUCUGCUGGAAUGCUGCUUUCUAAACCCUACUUGUAUUGACAAUCUUGACCUCAAAUCAGGUAGGACUACCCGCUGAACUUAAGCAUAUCAAUAAGCGGAGGA